rnacentral:rRNA from 1 species
GAUUUCUGGCUUGUCACACUUGGCCGGCCACGGUUUCGUGUGUUAGUGCUUUGUGUUCUGGCCAUCCUUCCAAUUGCUAUUCAUCUUUCUUCAUUGAUUGGUGAGUGGUGUUGGAUCUUUUACUUUGAACAAAUUAGAGUGUUUCAAGCAGGCUUUAUGCUAUGAAUACAUUAGCAUGGAAUAAUAAUUUAGGACUUCGGUUCUAUUUUGUUGGUUUCUAGGACUGAAGUAAUGAUUGAUAGGGAUAGUUGGGGGUGCUAGUAUUCAGCGGCCAGAGGUGAAAUUCUCGGAUUCGCUGAAGACUAACUUAUGCGAAAGCAUU